GACGAACGCUGGCGGCGUGCUUAACACAUGCAAGUCGAACGAAGUGGAGAACGGGUGAGUAAAGCGUACUCAACCUGCCCUUCAGAGGGGGAUAACAGUUGGAAACGACUGCUAAUACCGAAUACUGAAGGCGGGGAUUGCGUCUGAUUAGCUAGUUGGAGGGGUAACGGCCCACCAAGGCGAUGAUUAGUAGCGCGUCUGAGAGGAUGAACGGCCACAUGGGGACUGAGACACGCACCAGACUCGUACGGGAGGCAGCAGUUGGGAGGCUUCCGCAAUGGACGAAAGUCUGACGGAGCAACGCCGCGUGAGUGAUGACGGCCUUCGGAUUGUAAAGCUCUGUUAAUCGGGACGCGGUACCGGAAUAGAAAGCCACGGCUAACUACGUGCCAGCAGCCGCGGUAAUAC
rnacentral:rRNA from 1 species